rnacentral:rRNA from 1 species
UACGAAGGGGGCUAGCGUUGCUCGGAAUCACUGGGCGUAAAGCGCACGUAGGCGGCUUUUUAAGUCAGGGGUGAAAUCCUGGAGCUCAACUCCAGAACUGCCUUUGAUACUGAGAAGCUUGAGUCCGGGAGAGGUGAGUGGAACUGCGAGUGUAGAGGUGAAAUUCGUAGAUAUUGGGAGGAACACCAGUGGCGAAGGCGGCUCACUGGACCGGUACUGACGCUGAGGCGCGAAAGCGUGGGGAGCAAACGGG